rnacentral:rRNA from 1 species
AUACGUAGGUGGCAAGCGUUGUCCGGAUUUAUUGGGCGUAAAGCGAGUGCAGGCGGUCUUUUAAGGUCUGAUGUGAAAGCCUUCGGCUUAACCGAAGAAGGGCAUCGGAAACUGGGAGACUUGAGUGCAGAAAAGGAGAGUGGAACUCCACGUGUAGCGGUGAAAUGCGUAGAUAUAUGGAAGAACACCAGUGGCGAAGGCGGCUCUCUGGUCUGUAACUGACGCUGAGGCUCGAAAGCGUGGGUAGC